GAGGAAACACAGGCCCAGAUGGAAAGUGGCUUGCCCAAUCCCACACAGCAAGGCAGAGAUGGAUCCAUCCAGCUCUCUCCUCCCAGCCAGGGCUUAGCGACAACACAGCUACAGGGGCAUGAGAGGCUCAGAGGCCUGGUCCUCUGGCUGGUGGAGCCUUGGAGGCAGUAGUGAAGAUCCCUGGAAGAGGGAGGCCAUGAAGAGGGAUGCAGAUACCUGGCAAGCCCACCUCCCUUCUAUGCCACCUGCCAGCCUUCUCUGACAUUCCCAAACCAGGGACCAACACCGCCAAUCAGGGAAGAUUUACACGCAUUUAAUUAUGAAGUAAUCUCCAGGCUGGAUGACCAUUGAAUCACCUGGGAGCAUCUUGAAAAGAAGAGAUUCAUGGGCCUCCCGCUGGAUCCACCGAACCAGAACCUCCUGAGGUAGAGCCUGGGAAUUUAUUUUUCAAAAAAGUACUCUAGGUAUUUCUGCAAUUAUAGGAAACUGCAAGAGGUUUGGCAUGGCUGGGGAAUUGAUGUCGCUGAGGAUGAGGCUGCAGAUGUGAGCAGGGGUCAGGUCUUACAGGGACUCCAAGUUUAGGACUUGGACUUUGUCCUGCAAGGCGGGAUCAGAUGAGCACCUUUGCAAUGGCUCUCUGGUGGAAC
rnacentral:lncRNA from 1 species